GUUCGGGGAGCCGGGCGCCUUCGGCAGGACGUACCGGGGACAGUGGGCCCCCACAGCCCUCUUGGACUCUACGUGCAGUUAGGCGGUGGAGGGAACAAAAGAUACUUCUUGUCUGAAAAAUGCUGUGAGAGCAUUAAGGUUGGACAUAAGGAUCAGCCUUCCGGCUUGGAGGACUGGGUGCAAGGUGGGUGUGACAAAGAAAAGGAGCUCAAAACUGCCUCCUGUUCCAGCCUAACCAGACCACUGAAAAUUGCAUCACAAAAUGUAUGGUGACACAAAACUUCCACAUGGAGGGCCUGAGGGUUUGUGACAUCUGGACUGAUAAAAGUGAUGAUGUGGAAACACUAAUACCGAAGCAUGUGCAAGGUCAACUUGAGAAGUUGGUCCCAGCUCUGCCGCCUCUUCAAAAGUUAUCCUGUCCUGUCAGCCUUAGGGAAGAAACCUGCCUAAGGAGUGUCUCAAGCCAGAGCAAGGUUAGUGGGGGAUUGUGCCCCCAAGUAUCCUUUCCUAAGUCACCGAUCAUGUCAUCUCUUAACUAGAUUUUUUGCCCGAAGUCUUAAAAAUAAACAACAUAAACUUCUCCAGCUGACAAAAGGCAGUCAGAAGUGCCAGCAUUUGAUUUGCUCCGCGGCAGGAUCAGGGACACUGACUGUGUCAUGUACCCUCAGUCCCAAGCACAGGACCGGAAGCUCACUGCCAGGGGGGACAUCCAAAGGGCUAUGUCCAAGUUGCUGAGGCAUGCACACCAAAGAGUUUGGAAAAGCCAAAGAGGGCACUAGAAGAGAGAAUCAGGAGCUGAUCUACCACACUGACCAGAAUGGUAGAACCAGGGAAGAUGAGAAAAUUGCAAAUGGUCAUGGGACAAUGGGGAAGUAUGGGUGACUUCGAUGACACGGGCCAACACUCAGCUGGAUUUGUACCCUUCCUACAGUAUGUGCUGCUCAGUGGUAGGAUGACCCCUCUCCUAGCCCCCUAUAAAUGACAUUAUUGAUAAGUUUUCCUGAUUAAUCCUGCCUUUCUCAAGAAAGUCAAGUGGACUGGAUGCUGCCAAGCAAGUUUUCUUUUUUUUUUUAAUUUUUUUUUUCAACGUUUAUUUAUCUUUGGGACAGAGAGAGACAGAGCAUGAACGGGGGAGGGGCAGAGAGAGAGGGAGACACAGAAUCGGAAACAGGCUCCAGGCUCUGAGCCAUCAGCCCAGAGCCCGACGCGGGGCUCGAACUCACGGACCGCGAGAUCGUGACCUGGCUGAAGUCGGACGCUUAACCGACUGCGCCACCCAGGCGCCCCAUGCCAAGCAAGUUUUCAAGUUGUGUGAUGCUAUUCCCUCUUCACUGAAAGGGAAGCCCCGCAGAGAAGACAUCACAGGCUGAGACAGGUAAUGGAAACCCCAGGAGUGAUCCUAGGAGUAUUUCUCACCUGCAGCCUGAGUCACAAUGCUGGAGGGUGAAUGACAGGCUUGUGUCUGCAUGUCCAGCUUUUUGGAAAGUCAGAGGAAAUGCUACUGUGGUCCCAUUAAUCACACUGUGAUAUGUUGAUCUGACUAAAAUGCAACUUUGAAAUGUUACGUAUUGUCAUGCCUAGAAACUCAAUCUAAAUUGUUUCUGCUUUGGGACGCCCAGGUGGCUCAGUUGGUUAAGCGUCCGACUUCGGCUCAGGUCGUGAUCUCACAGUUCAUGAGUUCGAGCCCCGCGUUGGGCUCUGUGCUGACAGCUCGGAGCCUGGAGCCUGCUUUGGAUUCUGUGUCUCCCUCUCUCUCUG
ensembl:lncRNA